UGAAACUGUAUAUAAUUGUUUCGAAUUAGGUUUCUAGUUUACAGUUGCAAAUUAAGAAUUUUUAUUAAAUCUUAUUAUCUUAUAACAAGUUUGUUUAACAUUUCUGGAAUAUAAAUGAGGAUCAUGAAACUGUUGAUUUUUUGCUGAAAUGAAUUUGCAAACUAGAAAACUUUCACUAAAGUUUAUCCUUUACAAAUUGGCUGAAAGUUCUCUUGGACUCGCAUUGCAAAUUCUGAAGGUCAUAUGAUCCUUGUUGGCUCCCCCAUCUAGCUAAAGGCAAUACGAACAAAAGUGCAUGCAACAAAAACAGACGCUCUGAAUGCAUCACAUCAGCUGAGUGUUCUUCUCUCUGUCAAAAGGGGUACACACACACACACAUUCAUAGAUAUAAAGAUCACAUGAAACGUGGAGUGUCUUCUGGCGCCGGGGACACCACAAAAAAGUGCAACUCGGCAUCAUCAAGUGACAGAGAAAGAGAGACGUGUAUGCACAGACAGACACGACCCCCGGGGCCAUGAGGUCGUUUGUGAACAGAAAAAAAUAAACGUCGCGAUGGGAGGGGGGAAGUGUUUUUUCAUCUGGUGGUUUUUUCUAUGGAAUAGGGUCAAAAGUCGGGGACUGACGUAUCGGUUGAGAGGAUUAAGAAAAUGUGCCCACUGUUUCAAUAUAAUAACAACAUGAAACAGCUAAUUUUUUUUCAGAACGCCGUCCGCCACAACCUAUCCCUUCACAAGUGCUUCCAACGAGUCGAGCAGAAUGUGAAAGGAGCUGUAUGGACUGUAGACGAUUCUGAAUUUUAUCGAAGACGUCCCAAUCGAGCAUCUGCUACCAGAAGUCAGCCACAGACACCUUUGCCCGACGAUGUAAGUUUUUAAUUUUCCUUUUUUGCAUGUUUAUAUUCAGGGAGAGUGUUUUCAAAUGUUUCACACAAAUUUGAAAACUUGAAUCCCUGAUCAGAAGGUUAUGUUGCUUUUUAGAGUUCGCUUUGAUAUUAGUGAUAGUGUGAUUGUCUUUUAUCAAUGGACUAAUCCUACCCUCUAGUAGUACUUUUUGUGAUAGUCUUUUUCGGCUUUAACCUUGAUUUUUUCUCUGAUUUUCACCUAAAAAAGCGAACUUUGAAUUGACAUCUUAAACCUGAAACAUGCGAAGCCCAGUUUUUGAAUUCGCACUUGUCAAUUCAGAUUUCGCAGCAAAAAUUGUUUGACACGAGCGCUUUGAGCUCAUUUUUGGAAAUGCAGAACUUCGACCCCGCAUCGCUGACUGGUGAUCAAUUCCAGCUGAAUGGCAAUUUAGACAGUGUUUUGUCGCUUCUUGGUAAGAUUUUUUAUUCAGAAACUUUAGAAAAUUAUCAAAAUGAUUUUUUGCAGCAAACGCCGAUGUGAACAAUCCGUUGCAAAUGCUAUCAGCUGCUGCGGCCGCUGGAAAUCAUUCGGGUGGUAUUCUAGAAGGACAGUUGCUGAAUAAUGUGAAAGAAGAGAUGAUGGAUGUUAGCGAGCCACACAAUGGACAUUUAUUGAGAGGUAAAUUAUUUUGCACCCACUAAUAAAAAACAAAAUAUAAUAACACCAUGAAACAGUAACUUUUCAAAUAAUUUAAUCGCAUUUUUUGUGCACUCGUUUUCCUAAUGUGGAAAGUCAAUUUUAACAUUAAAUUUAUUUUUGAGGCUUUCUAAUUCUGAAGUAUUCUCAUGAUUUCCAUCGUAUUAUUAUUUUCGCAUCCCCUCUAAACCUUGCCAUUGAAACGGUAAAUUUUAGAUUUUUUAAAGCAUUAAAGGUGGAGUAGGGCCAGAUGGUAUUUUGUCCAAUUUUGCUGACAGAAUUAUCUCCAUAUGCCCAAAUAUUUUACUGAAAGACUCGCAAACUUUUUUUUAAAGGUUGUAAGUUUUUCUAUGUAAGGCUUGGUACAAUUGGAUUUUUUGGAAAUUUUGAGAAAUAAUGCAGGUUCAAAAGCCUGCAGUGCUCAAACACAAGAUUAAAAUAUAAAAAUUGUAGAAAGCCAUUUAUUUUUGAUUGACCUCCAAAAUUAGUUGAAAAUUGAGAAAUUCGCACAUUUUGGCAAUGUUUUUCUCGAAUAUUUUUUCAAGAUGGUUUUACUAUGAUAUAUAAUUUUUUAAAAAAGUGGUUUCAAACAAUUUCCCUACUGACGCUGCUCAAUCUAAACAUAUUGAAGGCAAACAAUAUUGUUUUUUUUUUGAUAAGCACCUAAAAUCUUUUUUGAUAGAUAGUUGAAAUACAUAAUUGUCUAUUAACCUAAAGUUUAAAACCAAUAGAACUUUAACAUGAACUUGUAUUCAUCGAAGUUUCGAAACAGUAACCCCCAUUUAACACCACGCCUGCUUGUUUCUGCUAUAACCGCUUCUAAUAAUUACAGAAAUCACUCAAAACAAAAACUGAAAUCCUCCUCCUCCUUCUCCAUCCAUCCAUAUAAAUUUCAGUGGCUCGGCACAUUCAAAAAGCUUCAAAGCGGCCUGCGUCAGCAAAUCCAUCGAAUCUUUGCUGAUGCUCCAAACAUGCAUUUAGUAACUUAUCGAAGAAGAAGAAGUCACAAACAUUUUCAUUAAACUAGGGUGUUUAUAUAUCAGUUAGGAUAUUCAUUUUUCUUUCAAUUUUUCAUUUUUUCUUCCUUUUCUCCAAAAAACUUUUGCAAUACAAUGGAAUACCCAUGUUUUGUGCUCCUCUCAGAUUCCCCAUCCUCAGCAAACUAUUACGGUCUCUUUUUCCUUAGUUUGUACCCUUUUCAUAUUGAUUGUUGCCUUUUUUGUUUCUCAGUUUUCAUUAUAUUUUUCUCAGUCUUCCAUUUAUAUAUAUCUCCCUCUUUUCUACCAAACAAAAACCAUUUCCAAGAGCAUUCGAUGAUCCCGACACUACACAUUUGAUCUACUACCAUCUUCCAACACACUUUCCCGCCUUUUUUCUCUCGUUGUCAGGGUCUCUCCAACAUCCUUCUAAUCUCUCGAUUCAUCUCCCAUUACAGUAGCGUUGUUUUCUUUGUUUGUGAUUCGCCCUGUCUGAAACUGUUUCAGAAACUCUUAAUAUUCACUGAAAUUACCUCCUUCUCCCAUUUUGCCCACACUUUGUAUUUUAUGCGCAAGUUGUGAUUUGUGUGAUGGUUUUUACUUUUUCAACAAUUUUUCGCCCAUUUCCUCCCAUUUUCUACUUUCUUUUUAUCAUUGAAUUACCUCAAUUCAAAUUG